rnacentral:misc_RNA from 1 species
GUGAAUCAUCGAAUUUUUGAACGCAAAUUGCACUCUCUUCGGAGAGUAUGCCUGUUUGAGGGUCAGCCUAAAAAAAACUCGACAUAGUCGCUUUUUCGCGGUGACAGUCGUCCGAAAUUGGGUCCACUUAAACCUUUGGGUUUUAAGCGCCUUUAAAUCUUCUUUAAGAUUCCACGAACGUUGCUUACAUUUACCUCUUACACGUUUAAGGUC